rnacentral:lncRNA from 1 species
UUGGUUCUGGAUCACUUCUUCCUGUUUCCAAAUUCUAAACAUCCUCAGGAAAUGGAGAAUUCAACACCACUAGUUAUCAUAAAAAUGGAUGUUCAGUGGACUGUCGCAAUGAAGGAACAGAAUCCCCAGUUUUCAGCUGGUCACAUGGCAGCCCAGAAUAAAGCCACAUCUCUCAGCCUCCCUUGCAGCUUGGUGUGCCAGUGCCGAAGCUUGGAUGAUGCUGUGGAGGAGUAAGUGUUCUGGGGCAGCUUCUGAGAACUUCCUUUAAGUGUCAGCUGCAUCUCCUUUGGCCCUCCUUUUUCGUCUUCUUCUUGAUCAUGGGAUAUGUGGAUGUAACUGCUGGAGUUCCUGUGACCAUGUUGGACCAUGCAGAUGAGGGCCUUGCUUAGGAGUGGGGAGUGGAGUCUGGCAGGAGCUGGGACCCUGUGUUCACAGGGCUGCGUAUUGCCCUGGACUUUUACAUGAGAGAGCUGAUGAACUGUGAUCUGUCUGUUAUUUUGGGUGUCGGACACUUCCAGCCAAAUGUGAUCCUGAUAGGAACGUCCUACAAAGUGAGCACUUUAAGUAUGGAGGGGACAAUAUACAGAGCAGUGAUGAGAAUGGAGAAUGGCAAUGAGGGAGUAUGCAAACUGAUGGAGAUGUGGAGGUCAGUUGGAUGAUGAGGGGACAGAAAUGCAUAAUCACACUUGGAGACAUCUGCUUCACUCCAUUUAAAAUUUAUUCUAAUAUAAAAAUUCACAAUGAACAGGGAUUGAUAUCAUUGGAUGUCUGUCCUUUCCAAAUCUUGUAUUGAAAUGUGAUCCCCAGUGUUGGAGGUGGGGCCUAGUGGGAGGUGUUCGGCUCAUGGGGAUGAAUCCCUCAUGAAUUUCCUGGUGCUGUCCUCAUGUAAUGAGUGAGUUUUUAUGAGAUAUCGUUGUUUAAAAAGAGCUUGGCACUUCUGCCUCUCUCUCUUGCUCCUGGCUUGCCAUGUGAUGUGCCUGAUCUUUCUUUGUCUUCCACCAUUAUUGUAAACUUCCUGAGGCCCUCACCAGGAACAGAUGCUGGCACCAUGCUUCUUGUACAGCCUGAAUAACUAUGAGUCAAUUAAAUCUCUUUUCUGUAUAACUAACCCAGUCUUAGGUAUUUCUUUGCAAUGCAAAUGGACUAAUAUAAAAUUGGUAGGAGGAGUGAGAUGUUGCUAUAAAGACACCUGAAGAUGUGGAACAAGCUUUGGAACUGGAUAUCGGGCGGAGGUUGGAAGAGUUUGGAGGGCUCAGAAGAAGAAAAGAAGAAAAAGGAGAGUUUGGAACUUCAUAGAGACUUGUUAAGUGGUUGUGACCAAAAUGUUGAUAAUAAAUAUUUACAAUGAAAGGCCAGGCUGACAAGGCCUCAGAGGGAAAUGGGGAAGUUGUUAGGAACUGGAAUAAAUGUCACUUUUAUUAUGCCCUAGCAAAGAACUUGACUGCAUUUUGUCCACGUCCCAGGAAUCUGUGGAAGUUUGAACUUAAGAGUGAUGACUUAGGAUAUCUGGUGGAAGAAAUUUCU